rnacentral:rRNA from 1 species
CUACCCUAUGGACAGAAUAAUCUCGGGAAACUGGGCAUAAUUCUUGAUAGAUCAUAAUGCCUGGAAUGGUUUAUGGUUAAAAUGAUUCGUCGCCAUAGGAUGGGACUGCGGCCUAUCAGCUUGUUGGUGAGGUAAUGGCCCACCAAGGCGAUUACAGGUACGGGCUCUGAGAGGAGAAGCCCGGAGAUGGGUACUGAGACACGGACCCAGGCCCUAUGGGGCGCAGCAGGCGAGAAAACUUUGCAAUGUGCGAAAGCACGACAAGGUUAAUCCGAGUGAUUUCUGCUAAAGAAAUCUUUUGCCAGUCGUAAAACCGCUGGUGAAUAAGGGGUGGGCAAGUUCUGGUGUCAGCCGCCGCGGUAAAACCAGCACCUCAAGUGGUCAGGGUGAUUAUUGGGCCUAAAGCAUCCGUAGCCUGCUCUGUAAGUUUUCGGUUAAAUCCAUGUGCUCAACGCAUGGGCUGCCGAAAAUACUGCAUAGCUAGGGAGUGGGAGAGGUAGACGGUACUCGGUAGGAAGGGGUAAAAUCCUUUGAUCUAUCGAUGACCACCUGUGGCGAAGGCGGUCUACCAGAACACGUUCGACGGUGAGGGAUGAAAGCUGGGGGAGCAAACCGGAUUAGAUACCCGGGUAGUCCCAGCUGUAAACGAUGCAGACUCGAUGAUGCAUUGGCAUAUAGCCAGUGCAGUGUCGCAGGGAAGCCGUUAAGUCUGCCGCCUGGGAAGUGCGUACGCAAGUAUGAAACUUAAGGAAUUGGCGGGGAGCACACAAGGGUGAAGCCUGCGGUUCA